CGAGAGAAGACUAUUCGGAGCGACACGCCCAAGUGUUCAUGAAGAACUCCCUCGCAUAUCUGACAGAAUCUCGGUACAUUGCGAUGGUCCCAGAAAUCCCGCAUGAUCCCUGUCAUCGCCAUUUCUAACCGGUCAAGACUAACGUUUACCCGGAGGAUCGUUAGCUUGCGAGGUAGGAACCGUGCGGCCUCACUGAUGACUUCCGGUGUGCCAGCGCAUCCGGCACGCGAACCUGUUGAUUCUCCAGCAAAGGUCUGACAAAACGGAUCCCAGAGGCAUGGCCAGCAGCACGGAGGAUUACGGGUCGGAAUUGCAGGAGUUGCAGUGGGGUGGCGGUAGCGGGUCGCACUUCCUGCGCAGCGGCUCACACUUCCUGAGAAGCGGCACCGGUGGUUGUUACGAAGCCGAGGAUUUAGAACCAACCAGCAGGCAUCAUGGCGGUCAACACAGGGGUUAUUACAGUCCUCCGGGCACGAGUUACACGAUCGUCGAGAGACCACCGAGCGCCCCUCAUCAUCACUCGUCUCAUACCACCCCUUACAGGCACCGGGGACACACCACCGGGGGUUCUGGUGCCAUUUCACCGGAACAAGUGCUUAGGCUGUUCGGCAACGGAGUGUCGGAGCGUCGCCAAGGAGACAGAAGGACGCCCGCGUCGUCUCCGGCCAGCGUCGCGGCGGUGAGAAGCACGCCAUCGUCGACCUCUCAACAGCAGCAGCAGCAGCAACAAUCGCAACAACCGCAACCGAAUCCUCCAAACCCUCCCACGUCCCCAAGUUCUCAGCCCCUCAGUCUCCAAGAGCUCACCGUAAGGACAAUCACCAUGACGAGAGAUCCCCCGGACUCUCACCAUGGCUUUGGGAUCUGCGUGAAGGGUGGCAAGGACGCAGGUGAGAUCCGAAGUACCUUCAGGCUUCCCCCGUCGCCGUACUUCGCGCCUCAAGAUCGAGGGGUGGGUGUCUACAUUUCGAGGGUGGAGGAAGGUUCGGUGGCCGAGCGUGCUGGACUGAGGCCAGGAGACACCAUCUUGGAGGUGAACGGCACACCCUUCCGGGCGGUGACCCACGAGGAGGCCCUCAAAAUGCUGAAGUCCUGCAGAACCCUGAGUAUGACGGUACGCGGUCCAGCGUUGGAUCCCCGUUGCAGAGGAGGCCACCCUGUGUGGUCCACUUCCGGUCGCCAGCAAUCCUGCAGCUGGAUGGAUCGUCAAGGUCGUCCAGCCUCGCCACCGCCGUUGUACCCUCCGCGGGACUCCAGAUACGGCCCCAGGACGAGAAAGGUCGAGCUCUGCAUCGAACCUGGACAGUCUCUGGGCUUGAUGAUCAGGGGCGGCCUCGAGUACGGUCUCGGAAUCUACGUGACAGGGGUCGACAAAGACAGCGUCGCCGAUCGUGCUGGCCUCCUGGUAGGUGAUCAGAUCAUCGAGGUGAACGGACAGAGCUUCGAGGAGGCGACCCAUGACGAGGCAGUGCAGAUCCUGAAGACCAACAAGAGGAUGACUCUCCUGAUUCGCGACGUCGGAAAGGUUCCACACUCUUGUACCACCAGCCAACCCAUCGUUAUGCCCACGUCCAGGUACCCUGAACACGAUCCGCUGCUUCUGGAGAGCCCUGGAAAUCAUCGACCACCCAGUCCUACUAUCGCCAGCGAUUGGAGACAUCGAGGCGGCGUGCACACGGUCUCCGCCGCAACGGCCGCCAUGGUGGAGGAAAAAGCGAGGGUGGUACUCGCAAGAAGCGAGAGGGCAGCUCUCUCUCAGCUCCUGGCGGAUUACAGAACGCGUCGAAUGACGAUCGAGGAGCUGGUGGUCAGUUUAGGAGAUCUGUUGAACACCCACGAGAAGCUGACUCUUCUGACGGAGCUCAGAGAACUCGUCGACAGCAAAGACAGGGCUGCGUUCGACGAUCUGGUUUAUAGACCUCGUGUUGCUAUGGCAAGGAGAAAAGGCGACCGAGCGCACUCGGAUCUAAUAGUGACGCCGUCGCUGCACGAUCUUCCGAGGGGUGUACCCGGUGGUUGUUGCCGUCCGGGACGACUGGUGGACGUCGAAGGAGAUCCUCUAGGAGUGACAGGACCUCUCCUGCCUCGGGAAAACCAGGAAUAUAGAUCGCCGAGCGAAGACAGCGGUCUCGGGGCCGACAUGCCCAGGACCAGAGUGGGCUGCAGGAGGGCGCAACAGCACCAAGUGACGACCUCCGAUCUCGCCCUCUCCAACGACGACGAGUGUGACAACCAGGACUACGAGGACGAGCUGGAGAACGGCCGCGGACGUAGACACAGUUCGCCAGGUGGUUCCCGCGGCAAUCCCAGAGACUACGGCCAUCAUCAUCUUCAUCCGGACAAUUUGACACCACUACCACUACCACACCACCACCACCACCACCACUCUGUUCGAGCACCACCAACACCCAACUGCUACCAGCCUAUCAGAACUCGCGCACAAGCUCUCGCGGAGCUUCGACAUGCAGGAGGCGCAGCUGCUGGAGGAGGGUGGUUCCGGUGGCGGGCCCGGAACCGCGGGUGCCGGGGGACCUCCACGACGACACCACAGCGCCCAACGAUUGGCGAGGAGCGAGAUGUCCGAGAGAAGGGAAGAGGACGGCGCCCUGGUGGUGCCCGACCAUCAAGGCAACCUGAGGAUCACCGUCAAGAAGACCAAGUCGAUUUUGGGCAUUGCCAUCGAGGGCGGUGCCAACACCAAACAUCCACUGCCCAGGAUUAUCAAUAUUCACGAUAACGGAGCUGCUUACGAAGCCGGUGGCCUCGAGGUUGGUCAAUUGAUUCUAGAAGUUGAUGGUCACAAAGUCGAAGGACUGCAUCAUCA
rnacentral:misc_RNA from 1 species